CCUACGGGUGGCAGCAGUCGAGAAUCAUUCACAAUGGGGGAAACCCUGAUGGUGCGACGCCGCGUGGGGGAAUGAAGGUCUUCGGAUUGUAAACCCCUGUCAUGUGGGAGCAAAUUAAAAAGAUAGUACCCCAAGAGGAAGAGACGGCUAACUCUGUGCCAGCAGCCGCGGUAAUACCGAGGUCUCAAGCGUUGUUCGGAAUCACUGGGCGUAAAGCGGGCGUAGGCUGUUUCGUAAGUCGUGUGUGAAAGGCGCGGGCUCAACCCGCGUACUGCACAUUAUACUGCGAGAUUAGAGUAAUGGAGGGGGAACCGGAAUUCGCGGUGUAGCAGUGAAAUGCGUAGAUAUCGAGAGGAAGACUCGUGGCGAAGGCGGGUUCCUGGACAUUAACUGACGCUGAGGCACGAAGGCCAGGGGAGCGAAAGGGAUUAGAUACCCUUGUAGUC
rnacentral:rRNA from 1 species